UACACGGGGAACAAGCGUUAUUCACCCUGAAUAGGUCUAAAGGGGCUGUAGGCUGCAUACGAAUAAGGAAGAUAGGCUAACUGGCUCUAAAGGCCCAAUAGCUAUCUUUACCUAUGGGCUAGAGUGCCAUGCAGGAAGCAGGAACACUAGGAGGAGGGAUGGAAUCCGCUGAUAUCUAGUGGAAGCACUAAUGGUGAAGCCAUGCUUCUGGCUAUGCACUGACGCUGAGAACCGAAAGCAUGGGUAGCGAAUAGG
rnacentral:rRNA from 1 species